AUGACUUUUCCCCUCACAUUUUCUGCCCUUUUUCUUCCAUUUUCUGCCCUUUUCCUCUCACAUUUCCUGUUUUUUUCCCCUCAUCUUUUCUUCCAUUUUCCCCUCCCAUUUCCCUUUCCCCCUCACGUUUCCCGCCAUUUUCUCCCCUCACAUUUCCCACCAUUUUCCCCUCACAUCACCCAGUACUUUCUCCCUCACAUUUUCUGCCCCUUUUUUCCCUUUUUCUUCCCUUUUCCUCUCACAUUUCCUAUUUUUUUCCCUCAUGUUUUCUUCCUUUUUUCCCUUUUCCUUCCCUUUUCUCCCCUCACGUUUCCCACCCUUUUGUCCCCUCACGUUUCCCGCCAUUUUCUCCCCUCACAUUUCCCUCCUUUUCCCCCUCACAUUUCUCAUGACUUUCCCCCUCACAUUUUCUGCCCUUUUUCUUCCUUUUUCUGCACUUUUCCUCUCACAUUUCCUGGCUUUUUUUCCUCAUGUUUUCUUCUUUUUUUUUCCCUUUUCCUUCCCUUUUCUCCCCUCACGUUUCCCUCCAUUUCCCCCUCACAUUUCCUAUUACUUUUACCCCAACAUUUUCUGCCCUUUUUCUUCCAUUUUCUGCCCUUUUUCUUCCAUUUUCUGCCCUUUCCCUCUCACAUUUCCUGUUUUUUUUUCCCUCACCUUUUCUUCCCUUUUCCCCCCCUCACAUUUUCUUCCUUUUCCCCUCACGUUUCCCUUUUCCCCUCACGUUUCCCGCCCUUUUCUCCCCUCACGUUUCCCUCCAUUUUCCCCUCACAUUUCGCACCAUUUUCCCCUCACAUUUCUCAUGACUUUUCCCCUCACAUUUUCUGUCCUUUUCCUCCCUUUUUCUGCCCUUUUCCUCUCACAUUUCCUGGCUCUUUUUCCCUCAUGUUUUCUUCCUUUUUUCCCCUUUUCCUUCCCUUUUCUCCCCUCACAUUUCCCGCCAUUUUCUCCCCUCACGUUUCCCGCCAUUUUCUCCCCUCACAUUUCCCUCCAUUUUCCCCUCACAUUUCCCAUUACUUUUCCCCCAACAUUUUCUGCCCUUUUUCUUCCAUUUUCUGCCCUUUUUCUUCCUUUUUCUGCCCUUUUCCUCUCACAUUUCCUGGCUUUUUUCCCUCAUUAUUUCUUCCCUUUCCCCCCCUCACAUUUUCUUCCCUUUUCCCCUCACAUUUCCUUUACCCCUCACGUUUCCCGCCAUUUUCUCCCCUCACGUUUCCCUCCAUUUUCCCCUCACAUCUCCCAGUACUUUCCCCCUCACAUUUUCUGCCCUUUUUCUUCCAUUUUCUGCCCUUUUCCUCUCACAUUUCCUGGCUUUUUUCCCUCAUCUUUUCUUCCCUUUCUCCCCCUCAUCUUUUCUUCCCUUUUCCCUUCACAUUUCCCUUUUCCCCUCACGUUUCCCGCCCUUUUCUCCCCUCACUUUCCCUCCAUUUUCCCCUCACAUUUCCCAUUACUUUUCCCCCAACAUUUUCUGCCCUUUUUCUUCCAUUUUCUGCCCUUUUUCUUCCAUUUUCUGCCCUUUCCCUCUCACAUUUCCUGGGUUUUUUUCCCUCAUGUUUUCUUCCUUUUUUCCCUUUUCCUUCCCUUUUCUCCCCUCACAUUUCUUCUUUUUCCCCCCUCACAUUUCUUCCCCUUUUUUCCCCUCACAUUUCCCACCAUUUUCCCCUCACUUUUCCCACUUUUUUCUCCCUCACAUUUCCCCCUCUUUUCUCCCCUCAAAUGCAUGGUCGG
rnacentral:lncRNA from 1 species